rnacentral:rRNA from 1 species
UCGGGAAUUUUGGGCAAUGGGCGAAAGCCUGACCCAGCAACGCCGCGUGAGGGAUGAAGUAUUUCGGUAUGUAAACCUCGAAAGAAUGGGAUGAAUAAAUGACGGUACCAUUUAUAAGCUCCGGCUAACUACGUGCCAGCAGCCGCGGUAAUACGUAGGGAGCAAGCGUUGUUCGGAUUUACUGGGCGUAAAGGGCGCGUAGGCGGCGCGGUAAGUCACUUGUGAAAUCUCUGAGCUUAACUCAGAACGGCCAAGUGAUACUGCUGUGCUAGAGUGCGGAAGAGGCAACCGGAAUUCUUGGUGUAGCGGUGAAAUGCGUAGAUAUCAAGAGGAACACCUGAGGCGAAGGCGGGUUGCUGGGCCGACACUGACGCUGAUGCGCGAAAGCCAGGGGAGCAAACG